GGUUCCGCAGCUUGAAGGAAAGAAGUGCCCGCCUAGCGAAUUGGGAGUCGUGGGUUCGAUUCCCACCGGAGCUU
rnacentral:tRNA from 1 species